CCUACGGGAGGCAGCAGUAGGGAAUAUUGCUCAAUGGGGGAAACUCUGAAGCAGCAACGCCGCGUGGAGGAUGAAGGUUUUCGGAUUGUAAACUCCUUUUGUUAGAGAAGAUAAUUACGGUAUCUAACGAAUAAGCACCGUCUAACUCCGUUCCAGCAGCCGCGGUAAUACGGAGGGUGCAAGCGUUAUUCGGAAUCACUGGGCGUAAAGAGCGCGUAGGCGGGAUAGCAAGUCAGAUGUGAAAUCCUAUGGCUUAACCAUAGAACUGCAUUUGAAACUGUUAGUCUAGAGUAUGGGAGAGGUAGGUGGAAUUCUUGGUGUAGGGGUGAAAUCCGUAGAGAUCAAGAGGAAUACUGAUUGCGAAGGCGACCUGCUAGAACAUAACUGACGCUGAUGCGCGAAAGCGUGGGGAGCAAACAGGAUUAGAUACCCCUGUAGUC
rnacentral:rRNA from 1 species